GACGAACGCUGGCGGCGUGCCUAAUACAUGCAAGUAGAACGCUGAAGGAGGAGCUUGCUUCUCUGGAUGAGUUGCGAACGGGUGAGUAACGCGUAGGUAACCUGCCUGGUAGCGGGGGAUAACUAUUGGAAACGAUAGCUAAUACCGCAUAAGAGUAGAUGUUGCAUUACAUUUGCUUAAAAGGUGCAAUUGCAUCACUACCAGAUGGACCUGCGUUGUAUUAGCUAGUUGGUGAGGUAACGGCUCACCAAGGCAACGAUACAUAGCCGGCCUGAGAGGGUGAUCGGCCACACUGGGACUGAGACACGGCCCAGACUCCUACGGGAGGCAGCAGUAGGGAAUCUUCGGCAAUAGACGGAAGUCUGACCGAGCAACGCCGCGUGAGUGAAGAAGGUUUUCGGAUCGUAAAGCUCUGUUGUAAGAGAAGAACGAGUGUGAGAGUGGAAAGUGCACACUGUGACGGUAUCUUACCAGAAAGGGACGGCUAACUACGUG
rnacentral:rRNA from 1 species